rnacentral:snRNA from 1 species
GUGCUCGCUUCGGCAGCACAUAUACUAAAAUUGAAACGAUACAGAGAUUAGCAUGGCCCCUGCAUAAGGAUGACUCGCAAAUUCGUGAAGCAUUCCAUAUUAAA